rnacentral:rRNA from 1 species
GACGAACGCUGGCGGCGUGCUUAACACAUGCAAGUCGAACGGAAAGAGAUGAAAGAGCUUGCUCUUUUAUUAAUUUCAGUGGCAAACGGGUGAGUAACACGUAAACAACCUGCCUUAAGGAUGGGGAUAACAGACGGAAACGACUGCUAAUACCGAAUACGUUCUAAGCAUCGCAUGAUGCAUAGAAGAAAGGGUGGCCUCUACAAGAAAGCUAUCGCCUUAAGAGGGGUUUGCGACUGAUUAGGUAGUUGGUGAGGUAACGGCUCACCAAGCCGACGAUCAGUAGCCGGUCUGAGAGGAUGAACGGCCACACUGGAACUGAGACACGGUCCAGACUCCUACGGGAGGCAGCAGUGGGGAAUCUUCCGCAAUGGACGAAAGUCUGACGGAGCAACGCCGCGUGAACGAAGAAGGUCUUCGGAUUGUAAAGUUCUGUGAUUCGGGACGAAAGGGUUUGUGGUGAAUAAUCAUAGACAUUGACGGUACCGAAAAAGCAAGCC